rnacentral:rRNA from 1 species
AUUGAACGCUGGCGGCAUGCUUUACACAUGCAAGUCGAACGGUAACAGGCCGCAAGGUGCUGACGAGUGGCGAACGGGUGAGUAAUGCAUCGGAACGUGCCCAGUCGUGGGGGAUAACUACUCGAAAGAGUAGCUAAUACCGCAUACGAUCUAUGGAUGAGAGCGGGGGACCGUAAGGCCUCGCGCGAUUGGAGCGGCCGAUGUCAGAUUAGGUAGUUGGUGGGGUAAAGGCUCACCAAGCCAACGAUCUGUAGCUGGUCUGAGAGGACGACCAGCCACACUGGGACUGAGACACGGCCCAGACUCCUACGGGAGGCAGCAGUGGGGAAUUUUGGACAAUGGGCGCAAGCCUGAUCCAGCAAUGCCGCGUGCAGGAAGAAGGCCUUCGGGUUGUAAACUGCUUUUGUACGGAACGAAACGGCUCUGGUUAAUACCCGGGGCUAAUGACGGUACCGUAAGAAUAAGCACCGGCUAACUACGUG